UACGUAGGGGGCUAGCGUUGUCCGGAAUCAUUGGGCGUAAAGAGCGCGUAGGCGGCCAGAUAAGUCCGGUGUGAAAGUCACAGGCUCAACCUGUGAAUGCCGCUGGAAACUGUCUGGCUAGAGUCCGGAAGGGGCGAGUGGAAUUCCUGGUGUAGCGGUGAAAUGCGCAGAUAUCAGGAGGAACACCAAUGGCGAAGGCAGCUCGCUGGAACGGUACUGACGCUGAGGCGCGAAAGCGUGGGGAGCGAACAGG
rnacentral:rRNA from 1 species